UGAACACCAGCGCCGUCUGGCUCGGUAAUAAAUAUGUAUAAAGGAGCGGUUGGUAGAAAAAACAGGAGGCAAUCUGAGGUUUUUGAAGCUUUUGCCAUGUUUAACAACAACAUCGUAACAAUGCAGGGACGUGGCUGGACUGUCGGAACAUCUAGGCAGAACCACGCCCCGGAAAGGAAGAGUGGAUUUGACGCCUGUUGUGUGCGACUGAUCGACGCUUCCUUCACGUGUCACGUGAUGACAACUGAACAAACUCCUUUCACUGAUGAAGAUGCUAAAAAGCUAGAAACCGGACCUUGAGUUGAGAUACUUUGGUCACACAAGUUUUAUGUAUUUAUUCAGAUUCCUGUAUGUACAGAUCACUGACAACCUUCUGUAUAUACAGUCAGUAAUCAGUCAUUUUCCUGUCAAGCAAGAUUAAAAGUAGGUUUUAGCCUCA